UACGUAGGGCGCAAGCGUUAUCCGGAAUUAUUGGGCGUAAAGAGCUCGUAGGCGGUUUGUCGCGUCUGCCGUGAAAGUCCGGGGCUCAACUCCGGAUCUGCGGUGGGUACGGGCAGACUAGAGUGAUGUAGGGGAGACUGGAAUUCCUGGUGUAGCGGUGGAAUGCGCAGAUAUCAGGAGGAACACCGGUGGCGAAGGCGGGUCUCUGGGCCGUAACUGACGCUGAGGAGCGAAAGCAUGGGGAGCGAACAGG
rnacentral:rRNA from 1 species